rnacentral:lncRNA from 1 species
UGCGCCAAUUAUCUGGAUAAAAAUAAGUUAGUUGGCCAUUCAAAUUCAAAAGAAAGUUUGAAUUUGAAUGAACAACCAACUAAUCCAUGCGUCAUGCUCUUAUCUUGUGCACCCCAUAUUUUAUAUGAGAAAGUGUUUCUCGUGUAAACUCUCCAUGCACAAAUCAACUCACGCCCCUUCUCUUCUCACCCCCAAGUGGAUAGGGAUGAGUUGAUUUUGCAUUUAAAUUCAAAUUUGAUUUGAAUUCAAAUGUGCAACCACUUAUCUUUAUCCUCUCACGUGGAUAAGACACGUUCGACGUUGUUUUAAAAGGAGGAGAAAGGUGGGGCGUGCAUAGAAUUUUUUGGAGAAAAAGAGUGGGGCGUGAGGAAGCCUUGUACGCAAGUAGGAAGUUCAUAUCCUUUUGAGAGAAAAAGAAAGAAAAGAAAAAACAAGUGGGCGUAGGGUUUCCAGUGAGUUUCCUAGGGUUUCAGCUUGGGAUUCGGGAAGUGAGAAGGGGAGCUAUGAGUGUUGUGAGCCCACCAAAUUUUAGGAGGAUCUUCAACAUCCUCUCAAGCACAUCUGCUGACGAUCCGAAGCAUCCAAAGAAUCGGCAGACAUCGAUCGAAGGAGUUCGAUCAGCAUCGACCGUUGAAAGGGCUCUACAAUGAGCUAGCACUUGUGAGGAGCCGAUCAGACCGGGAGCCUCGUGUGGACGAUCCACAGAGGCCAGACAUACUGUGGCUGCGUUGCAACGAUCAGACUCUCCCGACGAUGAUCAAAUUACGGUGAUCGACUAUCCGCACAAAGGUAUCGUGUUCUGAAUACAGAACAGUAAAGUAUUUACUGAUCAAAUUUGAAUUUCAAAUUUAAAUUCAUGCAUGCUGUAUAUCAUAUCUAGAUCCUAGUGUAGGAUAAACAUAUGUUAAUUAAUUAGAUUAAUUAAUUAUUUUCACUGUAAAAUAAUAAUUUUAAAAAGUUUUAAAACUAUCAUUUUACCCCUACACUCAAAUUUCACUU